rnacentral:rRNA from 1 species
UACGAAGGGGGCUAGCGUUGCUCGGAAUUACUGGGCGUAAAGGGAGCGUAGGCGGGUCUUUAAGUCAGGGGUGAAAUCCUGGAGCUCAACUCCAGAACUGCCUUUGAUACUGAGGAUCUUGAGUUCGGGAGAGGUGAGUGGAACUGCGAGUGUAGAGGUGAAAUUCGUAGAUAUUCGCAAGAACACCAGUGGCGAAGGCGGCUCACUGGCCCGAUACUGACGCUGAGGCACGAAAGCGUGGGGAGCAAACAGG